rnacentral:lncRNA from 1 species
AAUAUUUAUUUUUAGUUGUAGUUGGACACAAUACCGGGUUUCUGUCCCUCCUUGUGUUCUCGGCCGACAGCAUGCUCCAGUUCCUGCUUGGAUUUACUUUUGGCAACGUGGUUGGAAUGUAUCUGGCUCAGAACUAUGACAUACCAAACUUGGCUAAAAACUUGAAGAGAUUAAAAAGGAUUUGGAAGCCAAGAAGAAACCCCCUAGUUCCUGAUGCCCACUCCAGCCCUACGUUCUGGAUACUCUGAUUCUGCCGCCCCUGAGGGGCCUCCUGUAACAUCUGAUCCCAAAGCUUUUGUUUUCAUCUCCAGCCACAGCAAUUUUCUUCUUUGAUAGAUCCAGUGUUGCCUCAGAGCAAAAGUGGGGCCAUAAGUUAAGAACUACCCUUUAUGUGUCCAACAGCCUUGCCUCUUCCCCCGCCCUUCCUUCCAGCUGACUGGAAUUAUGGUGCUAGUUUAGCAAAGUCGCUUCUCCCCUGUUGUUUGGGAUUUCUACUAGCUUUUUUCGAAAGAAAAAUU